rnacentral:rRNA from 1 species
GACGAACGCUGGCGGCGUGCUUAACACAUGCAAGUCGAACGGAAAGGCCCUGCUUUUGUGGGGUGCUCGAGUGGCGAACGGGUGAGUAACACGUGAGUAACCUGCCCUUGACUUUGGGAUAACUUCAGGAAACUGGGGCUAAUACCGGAUAGGAGCUCCUGCUGCAUGGUGGGGGUUGGAAAGUUUCGGCGGUUGGGGAUGGACUCGCGGCUUAUCAGCUUGUUGGUGGGGUAGUGGCUUACCAAGGCUUUGACGGGUAGCCGGCCUGAGAGGGUGACCGGCCACAUUGGGACUGAGAUACGGCCCAGACUCCUACGGGAGGCAGCAGUGGGGAAUAUUGCACAAUGGGCGGAAGCCUGAUGCAGCAACGCCGCGUGCGGGAUGACGGCCUUCGGGUUGUAAACAGCUUUAGCCUGUGACGAAGCGUGAGUGACGGUAAUGGGUAAAGAAGCACCGGCUAACUACGUG